rnacentral:rRNA from 1 species
GUGGGGAAUUUUGCGCAAUGGGGGAAACCCUGACGCAGCAACGCCGCGUGGAGGAUGAAGUACUUCGGUACGUAAACUCCUUUCGAUCGGGACGAUUAUGACGGUACCGGAAGAAGAAGCCCCGGCUAACUUCGUGCCAGCAGCCGCGGUAAUACGAGGGGGGCAAGCGUUGUUCGGAAUUAUUGGGCGUAAAGGGUGCGUAGGCGGUUUGGUAAGUCUUAUGUGAAAUCUAUGGGCUCAACUCAUAGACUGCAUGAGAAACUGCCGGGCUUGAGUGUGGGAGAGGUGAGUGGAAUUUCCGGUGUAGCGGUGAAAUGCGUAGAUAUCGGAAGGAACACCUGUGGCGAAAGCGGCUCACUGGACCACAACUGACGCUGAUGCACGAAAGCUAGGGGAGCAAACAGGAUUAGAUACCCUUGUAGUCC